rnacentral:rRNA from 1 species
GGAUAACCUGCCCUUGGGACCGGGAUAACCCCGGGAAACUGGGGAUAAUACCGGAUAACGCAUAUCUGCUGGAAUGCUUUAUGCGUAAAAUGGAUUUGUCUGCCCAAGGAUGGGUCUGCGGCCUAUCAGGUAGUAGUGGGUGUAAUGUACCUACUAGCCUACGACGGGUACGGGUUGUGAGAGCAAGAGCCCGGAGAUGGAUUCUGAGACAUGAAUCCAGGCCCUACGGGGCGCAGCAGGCGCGAAAACUUUACAACGCGGGAAACCGUGAUAAGGGGACACCGAGUGCCAGCAUCAUAUGUUGGCUGUCCAGAUGUGUAAAAUACAUCUGUUAGCAAGGGCCGGGCAAGACCGGUGCCAGCCGCCGCGGUAACACCGGCGGCCCGAGUGGUGAUCGUGAUUAUUGGGUCUAAAGGGUCCGUAGCCGGUUUGGUCAGUCCUCCGGGAAAUCUGACGGCUCAACCGUUAGGCUUUCGGUGGAUACUGCCAGACUUGGAACCGGGAGAGGUAAGAGGUACUACAGGGGUAGGAGUGAAAUCUUGUAAUCCCUGUGAGACCACCUGUGGCGAAGGCGUCUUACCAGAACGGGUUCGACGGUGAGGGACGAAAGCUGGGGGCACGAACCGGAUUAGAUACCCGGGUAGUCCCAGCCGUAAACGAUGCUCGCUAGGUGUCAGGCAUGGCGCGACCGUGUCUGGUGCCGCAGGGAAGCCGUGAAGCGAGCCACCUGGGAAGUACGGCCGCAAGGCUGAAACU